rnacentral:lncRNA from 10 species
GGAGGAAGAUCUGAAGGAAGUCUAGGAGGGUUCCUAGAGGAUAGGGAGAAUGGUAUUCAUUUAGUUAGCAGGGAGCAGCAAAACUGAAAGAAGAGAACUAGCAAGUUAGAGCUCUCAGUGAAGUGCAUUAUCUUGGGGCUCUAAAAUUGGCUGCUUCCCGGAACAGAAACGGCAGGAGUUGGCAUCAGAAUGCAGCAACUUGAUUCCUGGCUACUUACCAGUUCCGUGACCUGAGGGUCCAGCACAUGGUAUGUGCACAGACAUGUUGUUUGAAUGAAUGAAGAUUUUCCCACCUGGGUCUGCUGCCUCCUUCAUGUUUUACCACCUGGUGUCACUUCAGAUUCUGAAACUAUCUGUGGCUCAUCUACUUAGGGAGGACACUGAUGUGGACAUUGCAGAAUAUCAGCUCCAGUUUGAUAAGGUGGUGCACAAUGAUGAGAGAGAGGACUUUGAGGGUUUUCUUCCUAGGUGCUCAAGUAGCUAAAAAAUAAAUAAAUAAAAAAAUAGAAUACAAUAAAAAACAAGCAGUGGUGGGAAUUACAGAUUAGCUAUAGAAGGAAAGAUUACCAAAUUCCGUUGGGGUGUGGCUGCUAGUGGUCUUUAAAACACUGAAGGCAGGCUUGUCUCAGGUCCCAAGUAUAUUGCAAAUGAGCCAGCACUAAAUAAACCUUGAAACCUGAUGGCUCCAUUCUCUCUCUUGGAAUCUAUCAAUUUUAUAUACAUGAUAAGCAUAUUUAUUGAUUGAUAAAGGCUUAGCAGAGAAGCCUGAAAUAGGACUGGCUUCCUUGGCCUCCAAGAGGCAGUUUCCUUCUAUCACAAAACAUGUUUAAAGCUCUUUAAUUUUGAAGGUCCUUGGAGUCUUAAAUUGUUCCCCACCUCCCACACACAUACACUUUCGGCAAUACCCCCAAUACCAGAAACCCAGACAAUACCUAUCCAUGUAUGACACCUGAGUUAUUGACUAUAUGUGGCAAUUGUUUAAUUCUAGGUUCACUUUCUCUUGCCGUCCAGUGCUCUUGGAAAACAUCUCUAUUAUCAGUUAACAUGUGAGUCUCCAGAAGGCAGACUCAUUUCAAUCUUAGUUUAAGCAAAAUCAUGUGGAAAAUCCAAUUUCCUUUAAAAAGUAUAUUCCAAG